CGUUGCUAGGUAACGCAUGUGUGGAAGCGGCACGGGCCCUCUGUGCUUCGGAGGACGGCCGCGUCUGACGGGACGGAGUGGCCAUGCUUGCGGGCAUGAUUUGGAACACAGAAUUGGGUCCCAUGGAUCGGAGUACAAGCAACAACUAUGUAUUAAAAUGUACAUGUGUUAAAGUCUGUGGGUGAGAAAGCUCAGCAUGGGAUCAUCCCACAAUUCUUUCAUCUAACGUUACCUGCUAGAAAAGCUUUGACUUCUGCCACUGCUGACAGCAUGAACCUGCCAGGCUGAAAGAAGAAAUAAACAACAAAAGUAAUGAAUACAAAUUGCUGGUGAAGUACUGAAAAAUAAAAUGACUAUAUAACACUCUGUGAGCUCUGUAAUGAUGAUGGCCUAAAAUGUUCGUCAGUGAAAGUGAGGCAUUAAUUUCCAUUCUGCAUUAAACAGUUCUUCUGCAGGUCCUAAUGGUCUUGUGGGUUGGUAACAAAACAAA